UUUGAUUAAUACCUCAUAGUAUUUUCGGAUCGCAUGAUUUGAUUAUUAAAGUUCCAACGGUAAAAGAUGAGUAUGCGUCCCAUUAGCUAGAUGGUAAGGUAACGGCUUACCAUGGCAAUGAUGGGUAGGGUCCUGAGAGGAGAUCCCCCACACUGGUACUGAGACACGGACCAGACUCCUACGGGAGGCAGCAGUGAGGAAUAUUGGUCAAUGGACGCAAGUCUGAACCAGCCAUGCCGCGUGCAGGAUGACGGUCCUAUGGAUUGUAAACUGCUUUUGUACGAGAAGAAACAACAUUACGUGUAAUGUCUUGACGGUAUCGUAGGAAUAAGGAUCGGCUAACUCCGUG
rnacentral:rRNA from 1 species